rfam:Drosophila ananassae strain TSC#14024-0371.13 Ctg01_19585, whole genome shotgun sequence.
AAUGUCAUCAAAAAGGGCUGAAGAGAUAUUUCUGCAUUUGAAGUGUAUCACAGCCAGCUUUGAUGGGCAUUG